rnacentral:rRNA from 1 species
UACGUAGGGUCCGAGCGUUGUCCGGAAUUAUUGGGCGUAAAGGGCUCGUAGGCGGUCUGUUGCGUCGGGAGUGAAAAACUUACAGCUUAACUGUGAGCGUGCUUCCGAUACGGGCAGACUUGAGGUAUUCAGGGGAGAACGGAAUUCCUGGUGUAGCGGUGAAAUGCGCAGAUAUCAGGAGGAACACCGGUGGCGAAGGCGGUUCUCUGGGCAUGAUCUGACGCUGAGGAGCGAAAGUGUGGGGAGCGAACAGG